AUUGAACGCUGGCGGCAGGCCUAACACAUGCAAGUCGAGCGAGCGGCGAACGGGUGAGUGAUGUCUGGGACACUGCCUGAUGGGGGGGGAGAACUACGGGAAACGGUAGCUAAUACCGCAUAGACUCAGAGGUGACCAGAUGGGAUUAGCUGGUAGGUGGGGUAAUGGCUCACCUGGGCGACGAUCCCUAGCUGGUGUUAGAGGAUGACCAACCACACUGGAGCUGAGACACGGUCCAGACUCAUACGGUAGGCAGAAGUGGGGAAUAUUGCACAAUGGGCGCAAGCCGGAUGCAGCCAUGCCGCGUGUGUGAAGAAGGCCUUCGGGUUGUAAAGCACUUUCAGCGGGGAGGCGUUACCCGCAGAAGAAGCACCGGCUAACUCCGUGCCAGCAGCCGCGGUAAUAC
rnacentral:rRNA from 1 species